rnacentral:rRNA from 1 species
GACAGAGGUGCCAAGCGUUAGGCGGAAUCACUGGGCUUAAAGCGUGUGUAGGCGGAUUUGUAAGUACCUUGUGAAAUCCCACGGCUCAACCGUGGAACUGCUCGGUAUACUGCUUAUCUUGAGCCACUUAGGGGCUACCGGAACAAAUGGUGGAGCGGUGAAAUGCGUAGAUAUCAUUUGGAACGCCAAUGGUGAAAACAGGUAGCUGGGAGUGUGCUGACGCUGAGACACAAAAGCCAGGGGAGCGAACGGG